UCAGGACGAACGCUGGCGGCGUGCCUAACACAUGCAAGUCGAGCGAGGAGAUCCUCGGGAUGAUCCUAGCGGCGGACGGGUGAGUAACACGUGGGCAACCUGCCUCAUAGAGAGGAAUAGCCUUCCGAAAGGGAGAUUAAUACCUCAUAACAUUGCAGUUUCGCAUGGAACAGCAAUUAAAGGAGUAAUCCGCUAUGAGAUGGGCCCGCGGCGCAUUAGCUAGUUGGUGAGGUAACGGCUCACCAAGGCGACGAUGCGUAGCCGACCUGAGAGGGUGAUCGGCCACAUUGGGACUGAGACACGGCCCAGACUCCUACGGGAGGCAGCAGUGGGGAAUAUUGCACAAUGGGGGAAACCCUGAUGCAGCCAACGCCGCGUGAGUGAUGACGGCCUUCGGGUUGUAAAGCUCUGUCUUCAGGGACGAUAAUGACGGUACCUGAGGAGGAAGCCACGGCUAACUACGUGCCAGCAGCUGC
rnacentral:rRNA from 1 species